rnacentral:rRNA from 1 species
UACGUAGGGUGCGAGCGUUGUCCGGAAUUAUUGGGCGUAAAGAGCUCGUAGGCGGUUUGUCGCGUCUGCUGUGAAAACCUAAGGCUCAACCUUGGGCUUGCAGUGGGUACGGGCAGACUAGAGUGCGGUAGGGGUGACUGGAAUUCCUGGUGUAGCGGUGGAAUGCGCAGAUAUCAGGAGGAACACCGAUGGCGAAGGCAGGUCUCUGGGCAUUAACUGACGCUGAGGAGCGAAAGCAUGGGGAGCGAACAGG